rnacentral:rRNA from 1 species
ACUCCUACGGGAGGCAGCAGUGGGGAAUUUUGGACAAUGGGCGAAAGCCUGAUCCAGCAAUGCCGCGUGAGUGAAGAAGGCCUUCGGGUUGUAAAGCUCUUUUGUCAGGGAAGAAACGGUGAGAGCUAAUAUCUUUUGCUAAUGACGGUACCUGAAGAAUAAGCACCGGCUAACUACGUGCCAGCAGCCGCGGUAAUACGUAGGGUGCAAGCGUUAAUCGGAAUUACUGGGCGUAAAGCGUGCGCAGGCGGUUUUGUAAGUCUGAUGUGAAAUCCCCGGGCUCAACCUGGGAAUUGCAUUGGAGACUGCAAGGCUAGAAUCUGGCAGAGGGGGGUAGAAUUCCACGUGUAGCAGUGAAAUGCGUAGAUAUGUGGAGGAACACCGAUGGCGAAGGCAGCCCCCUGGGUCAAGAUUGACGCUCAUGCACGAAAGCGUGGGGAGCAAACAGGAUUAGAAACCCUUGUAGUCCCA